ACUAGGUAGAUUACUUUGUUCCCUUUUCACACAGAGCGAACGGAUGGUUUUGUCAGACUUCUAUGAGAAAGGUUUUUCCUCUGAAUCCAAAGGAGCGACUGGUUUUCCCUUGAAGAAAGAUUUCUACUGCCUGCUACUCGGACCAAAACAGGAUUUAACUUUAUCUCUGGUUUUCUUCCGUUUUUUGUCACUCUUCCCCCUUUUUUUUUCUUCUCGUCUUCUCUUCAGGACGUACGCCUUUUGCUCCGGUUCCAAUUUUUUUAGGACGAUAAGACUAUCCUGAGAGGUCCAGCUGUCCUGCUGCUACACAUGCAGUUUCUUCUGCUCCAGUGAAGACUCCUCUGCCAGAACCACCAAAGUUGCUCGUUUUGGAACUGUCUCAAAGUAGAACGGUGCCUCUUUAAGAAGAGUGCAGGAUAAAACCUACAGUCAGUGCAAUAAGUCUUGACAAAAAAAAGCUAAGUACUGUAUUCAUUUGGACUUUGUGAUAAUAUUGUUUAUUUAACAACUCAUGUCAUUUUUGCAGCAGUCGUUGGAAGAACCUUAGCUCAGUCUGCAGCUCCUCCUCCUGCUCACUUUCAGCCAACGCCUGCUACUCCACCACUUCCAUGCUAUGACCAAGAUGUUAGCAGCUGGAACUGCUCUCCACAGCAGAGGAUCUGGAUGAAAACACAGAUGGAAGCCUUAGGACUGUGGCCUGGGUCUCCACCUGUGAGACCUGCAAUGAAUAUGAUCUCCUUGUGGCGUAACCCACCUCAGAACAUCAUUUACUGUAAAACUUUUGGAGACCCAGCAGCUGUGGCAUAAACUCACUCAAGGAAGUGAAACUGUCACUGUACCUGUUGUGACUCUCCCUCCUGCUCCAGUGAACCCCCCCCCCAGCAUUAAACCAGAUGAAGCUCCUCUAACUAAGACUGAUGUUGAAAAAAUGAUGGUGAAGGAGAUUGUAAGUAUGCAGUAACAACAGCAGAAACCUGGAAAAAGAUGACACAACUGUCUUCCUUGUGGGCAGCCAAAGUCUCGUUACCUUGGGGAUGAAUCUUCUGUUCCUUUUUUUAUCAGUCUGGGGAUGUGAAAUACUUCUACUGGUCCUAAAAGUACACCCGAUCUAUGCAACAGAACGCCUUACCGACCCCAGGAUGUCAUUUGCAGACUUUGCUGUCAGGCCAUUUUUUGACAGAGUUAAAGGCUGCAUUCAUGGUCACACACACUGAUUAUGAUAAGACUCCUGAUGUUAUCCUUCAAUGUGAAAAUAUUUGUAAUAUAGUUUGUGAAAUGUAUUUUGUGAAUACAGUUUUCUUACAUAUUUAUUCUUGAAUUGUUUAGUUUUGAUAGAAAAAGCAAAUAUAUUUACUACUUCCUCAAUUCACUUUACACAUUUAAAGUACUUGUAUUAAUGUUUUGCUUGGUUAAAUCUGUCUGCCCUUUAAUUGUAAAUACAUGGUUGAACUUUUUGAUACAUUUUGUGGUAAAUACUGUUUUAUUUAUUUAUUACAUGUUAAUAUGUUAAUGAAGCAUGGUUGUAAUUGAAAUGAGCAACAGAUAAUGACUGUUAUUUGGCACAAGCAAAGACAGGAUAGAAGUGGAAAAUUAUAAUCCUGAAAUGUCAUUUUCAGCUUAACAUAAAUAACAUUUAUUAAACCAGAUCUUCUGACUGACUUCACUCUAACUGGGGUUCGAACUCGGGACCAAAGGAUUUGUCUUCUUGGACAGCGCUACACAAGCUACAAUCUGAUUGGCUGUUCCAUGUUACAGGUAUUUGUCAGGCCCGAACCUUAACUUUUCCCAUUUAUUCUCUGUGGUAGUUCUUAACACUACUGAUGUAAUACACUUAUUGACCACUAGCGAAUUCUGGGGGCGCUGUUUCCACAUCGUGUUAAUGGUAAGGAUUUUACAGGAAGAAAAAACAACAAUCUUGGGCCAGAUUAGAUCCAAUCGUUAUUAGAACUGAAGUUAAAGUCUCAUGUAAGCAAAAAUAAAAUUAACAGGACAAAGUCUCUAAUUUGAAGACAUUUCAAGUCCCGUCAUUGUUGAACAUGAGGACUGAAACUCCAGCAGUGAGGAUAACAGCUGGGAUGAGAGGAACGUCUUCAAACUAGAAACUCACUUUGUCCAGUUAAGUGUGUGUGUUUUCAUAAUGAAACUAAUGAUUCAUUUAUUGAUUUUCAUACCACACCUGUUCUAUUGAGCAUGUUUUCUUUCAUGGUUUUGAGUGUUUUGCACAAUUACUAACAAAGAACUGUCAAUGAUUUGGGCAUUAGUGAUGGAUAUUUCUGUUGAUCUGAAUCCAGACUAUCCUGAGAGGUCCAGCUGUCCUGCUGCUACACAUGCAGUUUCUUCUGCUCCAGUGAAGACUCCUCUGCCAGAACCACCAGAGCUGCUCGCUUUGGGACUGAACGAUUUUUUACGAGUGUCAGGAUCGGUCAUGUCAAACCUGGGAAUAAUUGCCCUUGAAUUGUCACUAGGAUUAAUCAAAAAAAAAAAAUAACAAGUACAUUAAUGUAUAACCUAUAAGGUUUCUCAACAUUAGGGAUUACAGACUGAGGGAAUUGAACAACAUAGC